rfam:Chlorocebus sabaeus isolate 1994-021 chromosome 9, whole genome shotgun sequence.
CCAUUGGCUCUCCUAAGAGCCAAUGCAUACUCAAGAGUACGUUCUA